UCUGGGCCCUAUACAUUAUCUCCAGAUUCUGUGCAGUGUGUAUACAACAUAAAAACAUUGUUUUCGACAAACAUUAGUAAUUGCACCAGUUUUUAUUAAUACUAGUAUUGUGUGCUACCUAGUGUUGCAUCGUUUUGUGAAAGUCCUUGGAGUAAACUGCAGUUUCUUGUGUGUUUUCCCGGUGGUGCGUUGGCUUGUGAUCUUCCUUCCUGUAGUGGGGCUGCUGUGUGGUCGUCGUUUUGCUUACGUUCUAGCAUUCAUUCGUCGUUCUACUGUUCCGUAACAUAAAGGUAGCAACUUCCGGUGAACAUAACUGAUGGCGGCCGAGAUAAAGCCAGCACCCAGAAGUGCCAACGAUCGCUUCAGCACCACCAAAAAGCCCGAGCUGCUUAGCAAACUAGAGGGAAGCAACGAUGACGUGAACGCUGCGCUGCUGAUUCCGGGCGAGGACGGUGUUAUCAGCGUGUGUGAUGGCAAAACGAUACGAGUGUGGCAGAAGCGAGAUUCCGGUCAAUACUGGCCCUCCAUUUGCCAGUACAUGCCCUCCGGUUGUACCUCCCUGUGCUACACGUCGGAAACACGUACACUGUUCAUCGGACAGGAUAACGGAACCAUCUCGCAGUUUACGCUCUCGGACGAUUGCAACCGUUUAACACCAAUCCGGGAAUAUCUCGCCCAUCAGGCGCGCAUUACGAACGUGACGUUCGCCAAGCAUACGGGAUGGAUCUUGUCGGCAGGACGGGACAAAUUCUUCGCAUACCACAGCACCGAAACCGGCGAGCGCAUCGGUUGCUACACGUUCGAGGCAAUGUGCACCGCGAUGCAGUAUGACGCCUUAUCAAAAUACGUGUUCGUAGGAGACUAUAGCGGACAGAUAACGAUGCUGAAACUGAGUGGUACCGGCGCUACGAUGGUUACCACGAUGAAAGGACAUUCGGGGUCGGUACGUUCGCUGUACUGGGCCGAAGGGCCACAACUUCUAUUCAGCGGUUCACAGGAUCAGUCGGUGAUUGUGUGGGAUGUUGGUGGAAAGCGUGGGACCACGUACGAGUUACAUGGACACAACAACAAGGUGUCUGCGCUAUCGUAUGGUUCCAACACCCAGCAGCUGAUAUCGGCCGGCGAGGAUUCGGUAAUCGUGUUCUGGGAGAUGAACGCGAUGCGUAAAAUUACGCCGGACUGGGUGGAGUCCGAUACGUGUCAGCUGUGUACGCGAGCGUUCUUCUGGAAUCUUCGGGCGAUGAUCGAUCAGAAGCAAAUUGGAAUACGGCAGCACCAUUGCCGUUACUGCGGCAAGGCCGUCUGCGAUAAGUGUUCAAACAAUCGUAUCAACAUACCUAUUAUGGGCUUUGAGUUUGAUGUACGCGUUUGUGAUCAGUGCCACCAGCGACUGAAGAGUGAAGAACGACCAUCAUUGGCAACAUUCCACGAUGCCAAGCACAGUAUCGUUGCCAUGGAUUUGGAUGAGCCGCGGAAAAGACUGCUGACCGUCGGCCAGGAUCGUAUCAUCAAAAUCUGGGACCUUUCAUCGAUCUGGGGUUAGUAGAGGGAACGGAAGGUGCGAACAACAGUGCGCCAUCGAACGGUGUGCGUGAUAAGACCAAAAACUAAAUCGCGGAGAUGUUUGGAUAACAGGCAAAACAACAACAAAAACAAAAAUCAAGCAACGAAACACACUUCGUACGAAAUCAUUCGGUUUUGACCGGUACGUAAGUCGGGUAGGGCGGAAAGAUACGAUACGCCCCUUAGCUAGGAGCUACUACACUAGUAACCACUUCUUAUUGUUAUUACUGGCGCGCUUCCCGGCCUUUCCGUUGCCCUUUUGUUUCGGGGGAGAAACGAGCGUUUGUUGCAAUCCCAUUUCCACUCUUCGAUUCGAGAUUUCCUUUGCAAUGCAUUUGGUCCCGUACUAAUUAUAGUCCGUUUAUUGUUCCGCUGGAGCAACCGCAGCUGCAACAUCUCCCGCUGAGCAGCAGUAAAACAUUUCCAUUUCACCAGUGUGAGCGUGAAUGAUUUAAGUUAGUUCUGUUAUGCCCUACUGGUUACACACUUCUGGGUUGACGCGUACUGAUGAGAGAAGGAGAAGUGUGUCGAAUGUGGAGAUUAACGGCGUCUGAUUCUGAACCAGGAGGAUUGUUUCGACGGACGAAUAUUUGCUUUUGGGAGGACCAAAAUAAUCAAUCAAAUCAAAUUAACGAAAUCGCCCAAAAACGGUCGCCUCCAUGCCCGAAACUCGUCCUUUUUGCUCGACUCGAAGGGCCACCAAUUUGAACUACAGAAAGAUAGAGUGCCACGGCAGACGGCAGAUUAUUAUUGGUGCUUUUAAUGUUUCUAUGGAUAGCCAACGUCGUCAACAGCAGCUGCGCAUUCCGUGUUUCGUUAGGCCGAGCGUGUAACAUGAGCCAUGAAAUAAGUGUCGAAAGAGAACUCCGGAGAACGACGAUAUGGUCAUUUGCGAAAAUUAUCAUCUAAAAAGCAAAAACACUAGACGAGGAAGCAGCAGAGGAAGAGGAGGAGAGUCAUUUCGCGGGGAUAGGAGAUUUGGCUUUGGUAGAGAAAACUCUUGUGAAUCAACGUUGUACAUUGUAUAAUCAUAAUAAUAACUAGCAGCCGGGCGAAAAGAUAUAUUGUUAAAUUUAAUAAUAAAAUUAAUUACUCACUGAA